rnacentral:rRNA from 1 species
GAGUUUGAUCCUGGCUCAGGAUGAACGCUAGCGGCAGGCUUAACACAUGCAAGUCGAGGGGUAACGUGAGUGCUUGCACUUGACGACGACCGGCGCACGGGUGCGUAACGCGUAUAUAAUUUACCUUAAACUGGGAAAUAGCCCGAAGAAAUUUGGAUUAAUAUCCCAUAUUUUUUACUGAUGGCAUCAUUGGUAAAAGAAAGUUUCGACGGUUUAAGAUGAAUAUGCGUCCUAUUAGCUAUUAUGAGAGGUAACGGCUCCCAUAGGCAACGAUAGGUAGGGGUUCUGAGAGGAUGAUCAGUCACACUGGAACUGAGACACGGUCCAGACUCCUACGGGAGGCAGCAGUGGGGAAUAUUGCGCAAUGGGGGAAACCCUGACGCAGCAACGCCGCGUGAGUGAGGAAGGCCCUCGGGUCGUAAAGCUCUGUCAAAUGGGAAGAACGGUCAUGAUUCGAAUAGGGUUAUGAAUUGACGGUACCAUUAAAGGAAGCACCGGCUAACUUCGUGCCAGCAGCCGCGGUAAUACGAAGGGUGCAAGCGUUGUUCGGAUUUAUUGGGCGUAAAGCGCGCGCAGGCGGACAGUUAAGCCAGAUGUGAAAUCCCGGGGCUCAACCUCGGAACUGCGUCUGGAACUGGUUGUCUAGAGUCUCGGAAGGGGGAAGGGGAAUUUCGCAUGUAGGGGUAAAAUCCGUAGAGAUGCGAAGGAACACCAGUGGCGAAGGCGCCUUCCUGGACGAGAACUGACGCUGAGGCGCGAAAGCGUGGGGAGCAAACAGGAUUAGAUACCCUGGUAGUCCACGCCGUAAACGAUGUGCACUAGAUUUUGGGGGCUUUGACCCCUUCAGAGUCGCAGCUAACGCAUUAAGUGCACCGCCUGGGGAGUACGGUCGCAAGACUAAAACUCAAAGGAAUUGACGGG